UACGUAGGUGGCAAGCGUUGUCCGGAUUUACUGGGCGUAAAGAGCGCGCAGGCGGUCGUUCAAGUCGCGUGUGAAAGCCCCCGGCUCAACUGGGGAGGGUCACGCGAUACUGAUCGACUCGAAGGCAGGAGAGGGUAGUGGAAUUCCCGGUGUAGUGGUGAAAUGCGUAGAGAUGCGGAGGAACACCGAUGGCGAAGGCAGCCCCCCUGGGCUAACACUGACGCUCAGGCGACGAAAGC
rnacentral:rRNA from 1 species